GCCAGCAUGGCAUAGUGGUUUGAGUGUUGGACUAUGAAUCUGGAGAUCAAGGUUCAAUUUCUAGCUCGGCCA